CUCUAUUUUAACUUAAAUUUCGGGUAUGAUGAUACCUACGCAUUAACAAAGAUAAGGUGUGUGUGUAAGAUACUAGUGACACAGUGGUGAACUAUGAAUAUGUCACUGGACAUCUGGUUCUUGGGAUAUGAUCUUAGAAAGGGUUGCUCAAUUUCUUUGGACCCCCAGGAGCCUUGAACCCAGGUUGGUGGCCUGAUGCCCCUACCACUGGGCCUGUGCCUGCCUUCUCACUGUGAGGGAUUUCCUCCUCUUCGGCUGGCCACCCACCUAUCCUGCUGAGCCCCCUUUGCAAGGGCUUGGAGCGUGAGGGGAGUAGCAGCUUUCCUGGACUUUACCACGUGCUGCAAUUUUCCUUGUAAGAUUGGCUGUUUCCCUCCACGAAGUCUCUGCAGAGCGUGCGCAUUGUGCAGAUGGGUAGUGAGAGAGGCUGGGAUGACGUCUCACCCCUGCACCAGCGGGCUGUCUUGCCAUCACUGCAGACACAGCAGCAUCUCCACUCCUUCCUGCCCGUCCUUGCCUGGGGGUUGGUGGACUGGCAUUCACUGCUGGAGGGGAGCUGCCUCAUUAUCAGAUAACAAGUUUAAAAUGACAAGAAUUUGUUUUUCUCAUGGAAACAAUGGACAGCUGCGUGGGGGCAGUGCGUGAGAGGUUCUUUUGUGAGAGGGGCUUCCUGAAACUUGACCUUGGUUUUUCCGCCCAUCCAUGGGGAAAUGGGCAGUGAAGGCUUGGAGGAAGAGGACUGGGACCUGCAGUACCUCUAUGCCUCCAUGCUCUCCAUCCUCUGUGUCUGGGCCAGGCUGGCGCCAACUGGAAUACCACUCUAGGAGCCCUUCUCCUCUUGCUCCUUCCAGGCCCGGCCAGGGAGCUGGAGUCCCAUGUGGCUCAGGCCCCACUUGAACAUGGCCGCUCUCCAUGGGGUUGGCCCCGAGCAGCUCCCUCGGCGUGGGGGCUCUGGCGCCUCUCCACCUG
rnacentral:lncRNA from 1 species